rnacentral:tRNA from 1 species
GAGGGUGUCGCUCAGCAGUGGAGCGCGUGCUUAGCAUGCACGAGGUCCUGGGUUCAAUCCCCAGUCCCUCCA